CUCCGCGCUCAGCGCCGGUCUGCGCUUGCGCCCUCCGCUCUCAGUCCUGUUCCUCACCGAGACCACCGUUCAGUGACGCAAGGGUGAUUAGUAUGGUCUUCCCUGGGUUUGUGUGGUACAGCCUCCGUAUUGGACUUAGAGAAUCCCUGGGACGGAGGAGCCUGGUGGACUGCCGUCUAUGGGGUUGCACAGAGUCAGACUUGACUGAAACGACUUAGCAGCAGCAGCAGCAGCAGCAGCAAAAGUCAGAUUUGUUCAGUUAUCUAUCACCAUUACUUCUGCGACAUUUAUAACGCUGCAUCACUGGUAAGGUAGAGCCUUCCACCCAGAUUUCUUUCACCUCCAUUGCAAACUGGAGUCAAGAACAGCUAAUAUAAUCAAUGUGGCUAUGAUCAGACUGGGCUUCCCUGGUGGCUCAGACAGUGAAGAAU